rnacentral:lncRNA from 1 species
AAGAAGUGAGAGAAAGCAAUAACUCACCAAAGCUCAACUCCCAUCCUGUACCAGCCUCCCAGGAUGUCCUUUAUCUGUGUCCCUCAUCUUGCCCCAGACAGCAGGGCACCAGGGCUGCUAAGAAACCAGCCUCUGGACCUCUUGCAGCAGCUCAGGCACCAGCUUCUCUGGGCAUCGUGGCUUCUUAUCAACCAUCUGCCUUGCCUCUUGCCAUGCGUCUCUCCCACGUGCUCUUCCAGGGAAAUCAUGGCCUUGGGCCUAUGUAGGCAACAAAGUGACUUCUAAAUGACAGUUGCUAGAAUUCAAAGGCCAGAAAAAGGGUUGAGUUGAGCCCCUUCCAGCUCCUUGUCUGAUCUGUUUCUUACAGUCUUACCCACUUCUCUUCCACAUCUGAUAGAGACAUCAGUGGAAUCCAGCCGCCUUGAUCAAGCCCUCUUGAGAGUACUGAUUCCAUAUGCAACCCUGUUUCUGGCAGCUGGCCUAUGUUCUCUUUGAUGCCUGGGGUCCUGAGUGCUUUGCUUGAGGACCAACAUGUCUAGGAGGGCGGCCAUGUGGCCAGUCCUUGAUACCUGUUUUAAGUCCAGCUUCCCUUCACUCUCCCUGGUCUCUCAGUCAUCCCUCUUCCAUGCCUUGAGGUUAGUACACAUUCUCUUUCCAAAGCCUCUGUGAUCUGUGCAGCCUUUGCGUGCCAAACUUGUAAGAUACCAUUCACCUUUCCCAGGUACCUGCUACCAAGUCACCUGGCAGCAACCUUCUGUUAAGGACAGAAUGGGACAUUUGCAGUCAUGAGCAGGCUUACACUGGUUGUGUUGGCCUGCAGAAAUCACUAGGUUAGUGGUGUCAAGGUAUAGCACUUCGAAACUUCUUUUCAAGGUCUCCAAUCUCCACCUCAAAUGACAGUGGUAAGAACACUAGGCCAAUGCAGACAGUGUUAAUGGCUGCAGCGACCAGAGGCAACCCAUCAGGGAUUAGCAAAGAAGCUGCCACUGAGGCAGGGGCCAGAGGACCAUCAACCAGAAGGCAGACUGCUGGCAGUGUCUUAUGCCAGCCUCAGGGAAAGACUAAGCAGCUCAGUUUCUGCUUCAGUGCAUGGACACCUGAAGUUGCUAGAACACCUUCAUGAAAGAUAGCCAAAACAGGAAAGCUUGCUUGUGAGCCAGCUUGCUGUGUGGUCUGACCAAGUGAGAAAGACAGCAGGCACCCAGGCCUCAGACACUCUGACCUAGCUCCAGAAAGAUGGCCACAGCCCAGCUCCCUGGUACCAAGCUGUCAUCCCUAAACUUGGCCCUUUGUCCCUUGUGGGCAGAUGCUCCUCAAGCACUGGCCUUUGUGUGGGGCCCCUCCCUCCCUGGAGAACGUUAAAAGGUCUUACUCUCCACCCAUCCCUACACCUGUUUUCAUAAGUUAUGCACAAAUGUCAACAGCUGAGACGGGGUGGGACAAGUUCUUCAUUUUGCUCUUUAUUAAGUCAAAUAUUAUGGAAAUAUCUACUUAUUAGCACCCAAGACAAAUAGGGGAAAGGUUUAGAUGUUUUUGUGUUUUUAAGACUAUAACCACCUGCAACUGGAGGACAGGGCUGAUAACGGGUUUGGCCACAAAAUGGAAAGCAAGCAAAAUCAGACCUCGUAAGGGGAGUAUCACACACAGUCACGACUACUUCCCAGAGCCAAACGAGAAGUCCCUGAACUAGAAGUGCCAUUCAAAGAAUCUCGUGACCAUCACACACCCAGCCCCUGGGUGGCACAUGGGUUGAGGGAGGCCCACACUUCAACUCCUCCCUGUUCUGAAUGACACCACCUCACUCUAAUGUAUUGUGUGUGUUUUAGAGAAACAAUAUGGUGUGUUGUGUCUAGUGAGGAACGCCUCCCUACCUCUGUCCUUUCUGCAACCCAACCAUGCGUGCUUUUCCUCUAAGAGCCGCGUGACUGUACGUGUUGAAGGGGGCGGUACCUGUUCACAGCACAAGUUUAUGUUGAGCUCUGAACUGUCAUUCACAGCUGCGUGUCUGCAUGGUGUCGCAUCUGUUGUACCUUUGGGGAAAAUUUGUAUGUAAAUGUACAGAAAUAAAAAUGUUGCCCCAUUAACAGAUUUCCUCUGGAAUGUCUUCCCUACCUCACCUGAUGGUAUCCACAAAGGGCAUUUCACUACCACUGAGGACGAGUAAGAAAAUCCUCCACGUUGAUCAGACCUCCCCACGUCACUACUUUCAAGGCUUCUUCUGUGAGCGGCCUUCAUUCGCCCUGCAGAUGGUGGGGCCUCUCACUCUGCUUUAAGAGUCCUAGUCUUAAAAGGUAGUCAGAGGCUGAGAUCGGAUUAAACUUAAAUGCUUAUGUAGUGUAAUUCUCAAAACCAUCUGAGAAUCCUGCACAUUUAAGAUGAAUUUUUUUCCCUCCUUUGUGUUCUGCUAAUCCGUGGCCUGAGGAUUCCUAGAGAGGACAAGGAAUGACUAUCUACACUGUGAUUCUGGGAGGAAAGACUGAUAACACAAAACUCUCUUCUCUAAUGUAGUAUUUUUUAACAAGAAAAUAAUAUUUCUUUAAUAAAGCAUUUAUACC